rnacentral:rRNA from 1 species
UACGUAGGGGGCAAGCGUUGUCCGGAUUCAUUGGGCGUAAAGAGCGUGUAGGCGGCCAGGUAGGUCGGUUGUGAAAACUGGAGGCUCAACCUUCAGAGGUCGACCGAAACCAUCUGGCUAGAGUCCGGGAGAGGAGGGUGGAAUUCCUGGUGUAGCGGUGAAAUGCGCAGAUAUCAGGAAGAACACCCGUGGCUAAGGCGGCUCUCUAGUACGGUACUGACGCUGAGACGCGAAAGCGUGGGGAGCGAACAGG